rnacentral:rRNA from 1 species
UACAGAGGGGGCAAGCGUUGUUCGGAAUUACUGGGCGUAAAGGGCGCGUAGGCGGCCUUCUAAGUCGAACGUGAAAUCCCCGGGCUCAACCCGGGAACUGCGUCCGAUACUGGAAGGCUUGAAUCCGGGAGAGGGAUGUGGAAUUCCAGGUGUAGCGGUGAAAUGCGUAGAUAUCAGGAGGAACACCGGUGGCGAAGGCGGAUCUCUGGGCCUUACCUGACGCUCAGGUGCGAAAGCUAGGGGAGCGAACAGG